UACGGAGGGGGCUAGCGUUGUUCGGAAUUACUGGGCGUAAAGCGCACGUAGGCGGCUUUGCAAGUUAGAGGUGAAAGCCCGGGGCUCAACUCCGGAAUUGCCUUUAAAACUGCAUCGCUAGAAUUGUGGAGAGGUAAGUGGAAUUCCGAGUGUAGAGGUGAAAUUCGUAGAUAUGGGGAGGAACACCGGUGGCGAAGGCGGCGACCUGGACAGUAACUGACGCUGAGACGCGAAAGCGUGGGUAGCAAACAGG
rnacentral:rRNA from 1 species